rnacentral:rRNA from 1 species
CAGUAGCCGCGGGAAUACGGAGGGUGCAAGCGUUAAUCGGAAUUACUGGGCGUAAAGCGCACGCAGGCGGUCUGACAAGUCAGAUGUGAAAUCCCCGGGCUUAACCUGGGAACUGCAUUUGAAACUGUCAGGCUGGAGUCUUGUAGAGGGGGGUAGAAUUCCAGGUGUAGCGGUGAAAUGCGUAGAGAUCUGGAGGAAUACCGGUGGCGAAGGCGGCCCCCUGGACAAAGACUGACGCUCAGGUGCGAAAGCGUGGGGAGCAAACAGGAUUAGAGACCCGGGUAGUCCCUGUCUCUUAUAA